UGGAGGAGUAGACAUGGCGUGAUAUUGGUUCGGCUCAUCUUCUUCAGAAAUACAAUGGGAAGAUUCGAGGCGAGCCGAAUCAAUAUCACUCUUGUAUGCUUCUUU
rnacentral:pre_miRNA from 1 species